rnacentral:lncRNA from 1 species
CUCUGAACUUCAGUUUUCCUACUUGUUCAAUGGAGGUAAUAGCACCUUCUUCCAAAGGUCCUCAUGAAAGGUAAAUGAGUCGGCAAGUGUAAAAGGCCUAGGGCAGUGCCUGGCAUUAGUGCAUGCUCAAGUAAGGCAGUUUUUUCUUCCUUCCUAAGCUUCUACCUUCCACAUGUGUAAUCUAGGAGAGGGAAAUCUCAGAUUCACAGGAGGCAAAGACCUUUAUAGGGUGGGUUGUAGUCCCCCUGUCCACCCAGAUGAUCACCAUUGUGUUGGUCAGCAUGGAAUCUGACCAAGCUAGUUGUUUGGAAUGAGUGGCCUUAGGCGUAAGUGGUCACAGGAUUGGAGGAAGGCAAAUUCAUGGACAGAAAAGAGAGAAGGAGGUCAAGCCAUAGGUUACAGAGGAUAAAGCUAGUGUCCCAGGUGGGGUGGUCAGUUGUCUCAAAUCACUCAGGUAUUGAGGAGCGAAUCUUGCGUUCAAACCUAGGUAUCCACAAUUUCGGGCCAGUGUUCUGUUGCCUUAUGUUCUCUCUACUCCCUCUAGUGCUGACCUUUGUCUGGGAGAAUGCAGGGAGGGGGUGCACUCAGGCAGGGGAUGCUGCCAAGGAAAUACUUGUGUGAGUGUGGAUGGCUUCAGUCAGGUCCUCUCUGCUCCUGGUGGGGGUGGAGAUGGGGAAACCUGGGGGUGGGAGACUCCACAGUGUACAAGCUCCCCUAUC